rnacentral:rRNA from 1 species
UACGUAGGUGGCAAGCGUUGUCCGGAUUUACUGGGCGUAAAGAGCGCGCAGGCGGUCGUUCAAGUCGCGUGUGAAAGCCCCCGGCUCAACUGGGGAGGGUCACGCGAUACUGAUCGACUCGAAGGCAGGAGAGGGUAGUGGAAUUCCCGGUGUAGUGGUGAAAUGCGUAGAUAUCGGGAGGAACACCUGUGGCGAAAGCGGCGCACUGGACCACAUCUGACGCUGAGGCGCGAAAGCUAGGGGAGCAAACAGG